AGCAGUCGCCACGGUAAAACGAAGGGUGCAAGCGUUAAUCGGAAUUACUGGGCGUAAAGCGUGCGUAGGCGGUUUCUUAAGUCUGCUGUGAAAUCCCCGGGCUCAACCUGGGAAUGGCAGUGGAUACUGGGAAGCUAGAGUGUGUCAGAGGAUGGUGGAAUUCCCAGUGUAGCGGUGAAAUGCGUAGAGAUCGGGAGGAACAUCAGUGGCGAAGGCGGCCAUCUGGGACAACACUGACGCUGAGGCACGAAAGCGUGGGGAGCAAACAGGAUUAGAUACCCCAGUAGUCCCUGUCUCUUAUAC
rnacentral:rRNA from 1 species